UACAGAGAUGACAACCGUUAUUCGGAAUCACUGGGCUUAAAGGGCACGUAGGCGGUGAGUUAAGUUGGCUGUGAAAUACUAUGUUUUAAGCAUGGAAGGUCAGCCAAGACUGACUUGCUUGAGGAUGACAGGGGAGAGUGGAAUUCCUGGUGGAGCGGUGAAAUGCGUUGAUAUCAGGAGGAACAUCGGAGGCGAAGGCGACUCUCUGGGUCAUUCCUGACGCUGAGGUGCGAAAGCUAGGGGAGCAAACGGG
rnacentral:rRNA from 1 species